rnacentral:lncRNA from 1 species
UAGGUAGACUUUGUUGUCUUCGAUGUACCAAGAUCAGGAAGCACGUCUUGUUAGGCUGAACUGUCUCAUCGAAGUGAGUUUUCCGGUGUUACGCAUUGUCACGUAAAUGUUUCUCCGUGAUUGGAGCACCUCGAUAUUGAACUUUACCACAAAUACAUUUAUGUAUACAACUUUAGUCAUGAUGCAUAUAAAGCAAAGUGUAAAAAAUUACCGCCA